UUUCCCGUUCACCGGCAGCAUUGGUGGGGACCUACUGGCUUGGCUGAUGUUACUGCUGCGUCGCUCCUGGGGUCUGUGGGGCACAAACAGUGAGCCCCUUCUGCUCUCAUUGUCUCCAAAAAUGCUGUGCUCAUCAUCGGCAAAUUCAGUCUCAGAUCCUAUAUCUCUUCCUCUGCCUUUGAAACUAAAAAGACUUGUUCUGCUGCUUCGCCUUGCAGAAAACAAGGAGCCACGAAUGCUGAGUGGUGACUGCAGAAAAAUUAAAAAAAAACGUGGUUGCUGAAGCACCUACUGAUAGAAGUACACUUCAUAUAAAUACCACUGAAUCCACUGGCCUGAGGGCAGGUGGCUCUGUACUGACUUAAAAGAAACAUACUUAAAAACGAAGCAAUUCAGUGAGAAGAAAACUUCUUCCACUUAAGGGAUGAAACAAUUUGUAGAAUUCAUCCUUUCAGGACCAGCCUUUAGACUAAAAAGAAAACAAAUAUUACAUACCCUGAAUCUGUGCUGAAACCACAAAGGAGAGCAUCUUUGGAUCCCUCCAAGUAAUAAAAGUAUUCUGUUGAAGAAGAAUUUGAACAGUUAUAACAUUACAGACUUUAAUCUGUGAUUGUGGUAAAGGAGGUAAAUUAAUUGAUAUAGACAUUUAUCUACAAAUUCAGGCCUGGUCCCAGGCAAUAUGCAUCCAUUUAU
rnacentral:lncRNA from 1 species